rnacentral:rRNA from 1 species
UACGUAGGGUGCGAGCGUUAAUCGGAAUUACUGGGCGUAAAGCGUGCGCAGGCGGUUUUUUAAGCCAGAUGUGAAAUCCCCGGGCUUAACCUGGGAAUGGCAUUUGGGACUGCAAGGCUGGAGUUUGGCAGAGGAGACUGGAAUUCCCGGUGUAGCAGUGAAAUGCGUAGAUAUCGGGAGGAAUACCGAUGGCGAAGGCAGGUCUCUGGGCUAUAACUGACGCUCAUGCACGAAAGCGUGGGGAGCAAACAGG